rnacentral:rRNA from 1 species
CCAGACUCCUACGGGAGGCAGCAGUGGGGAAUCUUCCGCAAUGGACGAAAGUCUGACGGAGCAACGCCGCGUGAGUGAUGACGGCCUUCGGGUUGUAAAGCUCUGUUAAUCGGGACGAAAGGCCUUCUUGCGAAUAGUGAGAAGGAUUGACGGUACCGGAAUAGAAAGCCACGGCUAACUACGUGCCAGCAGCCGCGGUAAUACGUAGGUGGCAAGCGUUGUCCGGAAUUAUUGGGCGUAAAGCGCGCGCAGGCGGAUAGGUCAGUCUGUCUUAAAAGUUCGGGGCUUAACCCCGUGAUGGGAUGGAAACUGCCAAUCUAGAGUAUCGGAGAGGAAAGUGGAAUUCCUAGUGUAGCGGUGAAAUGCGUAGAUAUUAGGAAGAACACCAGUGGCGAAGGCGACUUUCUGGACGAAAACUGACGCUGAGGCGCGAAAGCCAGGGGAGCGAACGGGAUUAGAUACCCCGGUAGUCCUGGCCGUAAACGAUGGGUACUAGGUGUAGGAGGUAUCGACCCCUUCUGUGCCGGAGUUAACGCAAUAAGUACCCCGCCUGGGGAGUACGACCGCAAGGUUGAAACUCAAAGGAAUUGACGGGGGCCCCGCACAAGAAGGGC